AGCGAACGCUGGCGGCAGGCUUAACACAUGCAAGUCGAACGGGCGUAGCAGUACGUCAGUGGCAGACGGGUGAGUAACACGUGGGAACGUACCUCUUGGUUCGGAACAACACAGGGAAACUUGUGCUAAUACCGGAUAAGCCCUUACGGGGAAAGAUUUAUCGCCGAGAGAUCGGCCCGCGUCUGAUUAGCUAGUUGGUAGGGUAAUGGCCUACCAAGGCGACGAUCAGUAGCUGGUCUGAGAGGAUGAUCAGCCACAUUGGGACUGAGACACGGCCCAAACUCCUACGGGAGGCAGCAGUGGGGAAUAUUGGAUAAUGGGGGCAACCUUGAUCCAGCCAUGCCGCGUGAGUGAUGAAGGCCCUAGGGUUGUAAAGCUCUUUUGUGCGGGAAGAUAAUGACGGUACCGCAAGAAUAAGCCCCGGCUAACUUCGUGCCAGCCGCCGCGGUAA
rnacentral:rRNA from 1 species